rnacentral:rRNA from 1 species
GACGAACGCUGGCGGCGUGCUUAACACAUGCAAGUCGAACGGAAAGGCCCUGCUUUUGUGGGGUGCUCGAGUGGCGAACGGGUGAGUAACACGUGAGUAACCUGCCCUUGACUUUGGGAUAACUUCAGGAAACUGGGGCUAAUACCGGAUAGGAGCUCCUGCUGCAUGGUGGGGGUUGGAAAGUUUCGGCGGUUGGGGAUGGACUCGCGGCUUAUCAGCUUGUUGGUGGGGUAGUGGCUUACCAAGGCUUUGACGGGUAGCCGGCCUGAGGGGGUGACCGGCCACAUUGGGACUGAGAUACGGCCCAGACUCCUACGGGAGGCAGCAGUGGGGAAUAUUGCACAAUGGGCGGGAGCCUGAUGCAGCAACGCCGCGUGCGGGAUGACGGCCUUCGGGUUGUAAACCGCUUUCGCCUGUGACGAAGCGUGAGUGACGGUAAUGGGUAAAGAAGCAUCGGCUAACUACGUG